rnacentral:rRNA from 1 species
UACAGAGGUCUCAAGCGUUGUUCGGAUUCAUUGGGCGUAAAGGGUGCGUAGGCGGCGCGGUAAGUCGGAUGUGAAAUCUCGGAGCUUAACUCCGAAACUGCAUUCGAUACUGCCGUGCUUGAGGACUGGAGAGGAGACUGGAAUUUACGGUGUAGCGGUGAAAUGCGUAGAUAUCGGGAGGAACACCGGUGGCGAAGGCGGUUCUCUGGGCCUGUGCUGACGCUGAGGAGCGAAAGCGUGGGGAGCGAACAGG